GUAUGUUGUCGGCUGUGGUGGGCAGACGGUAUCUAUCCUGUAUAGUAACUCUGUCCUGUGUCGAGAGGUGAAAUGGUAGUGCCAUGGAUUUGGUGAGGUUCACUCUGUAACCCGCCUGGGUUCCGUAGUUGUCUAAGAGUUCUGUCAGGUGUUCCAUGGAGGUCAAGGGGUCCGUGAGGGUCAGCAUUACGUCGUCCGCAUAUGCAGAGACUUUGAAGGUUUUUCCCCCUACCCGUAUUCCGUGUAUGUGUGGAUGUUGGCGUAUGGCUUGUAAGAGCGGUUCUAGGGAGAUAGCGAACAAUAGUGGGGAGAGAGGACAGCCCUGCCGUGUGCCAUUGUGAAGGUGGAAGGGGGUCUUAGUGGCUCCUGCUAUUAGGGUUUGGGCCCUCAGGUUGGUAUAUAAGGCGCGUGUGGCCUGGAUGUAUGUCCCCGGGAAGCCCCACUCCUCCAGCAGGCCAAACAGGUAUGGCCAUUGCACCCUGUCAAAGGCCUUCUCCGCGUCCAGGGACAAGGCCAGUGAAGGCCGCUCUGACACCUGCAUGUACCAUGUGAGCACCGCCCCCCUGCGUGUGUUUUCGUACAGUUGCCUACCGGGUAUGAACCCCACCUGAUCGGGGUGAAUUAGGCGUGUGAGCAUCGGCACUAACCUGGCCGCCAGGAUUUUUGCGUAGAUUUUGAGGUCCGAAUUGAUCAGGGAGAUGGGUCUAUAAUUUGCUGCCGAUUCAGCAUCUUUCCCGGGUUUGGGGAUAAGCGUGAUGUUGGCCAAUGCCAUGUCCGCAUCAGGCGCACCGCCUGUCAUGAAGUGGUUAUAUAAAGAGGUAAGGUGGGGGGCCAAUUCUUCCUUGAAUUUCUUGUAAUACCCUAUGUCGUAUCCAUCGGGGCCUGGGGCUUUGUUCCCUUUUAAGAUCGCUAUUGCCUUUUCUACUUCUGGUUGUGUGAUUGGUUCUUGUAGGUCUGUGAUAUCGGUGUGUGUCAGCGCAGGGAGUUUAAUGCCGGCUACGAAGUGAGGAACGUAUUUGUUCUGGCGUGUUUUGUGCAAGUGGUGUCUGCCCAUAUAGGUUCGAGUAAAACUCUGUGAACACCCUGUUUAUUUCUUGGGGAGUUGUCGCAAUUCCUUGGGUAAGUGUGCGUAUUUUCGUGAUGGGUUUGUGGUC